GAUGAACGCUAGCUACAGGCUUAACACAUGCAAGUCGCAGGGUAACAUGAGGAAAGCUUGCUUUCCUUGAUGACGACUGGCGCACGGGUGAGUAACGCGUAUCCAACCUUCCCAUAACUACGGGAUAACCCGUUGAAAGACGGCCUAAUACCGUAUGACAUCGUUUGCUGACAUCAAAUAACGAUUAAAGGUUUAGCGGUUAUGGAUGGGGAUGCGUCUGAUUAGCUUGUUGGCGGGGUAACGGCCCACCAAGGCGACGAUCAGUAGGGGUUCUGAGAGGAAGGUCCCCCACAUUGGAACUGAGACACGGUCCAAACUCCUACGGGAGGCAGCAGUGAGGAAUAUUGGGCAAUGGGCGAGAGCCUGAACCAGCCAAGUAGCGUGCAGGAUGACGGCCCUAUGGGUUGUAAACUGCUUUUAUGUGGGGAUAAAGUGCGUGACGUGUCAUGCAUUGCAGGUACCACAUGAAUAAGGACCGGCUAAUUCCGUG
rnacentral:rRNA from 1 species